UACGAAGGGGGCUAGCGUUGUUCGGAUUUACUGGGCGUAAAGCGCACGUAGGCGGAUUGUUAAGUCAGGGGUGAAAGCCUGGAGCUCAACUCCAGAACUGCCUUUGAUACUGAGGAGCUUGAGUCCGGGAGAGGUGAGUGGAACUGCGAGUGUAGAGGUGAAAUUCGUAGAUAUUCGCAAGAACACCAGUGGCGAAGGCGGCUCACUGGCCCGGUACUGACGCUGAGGUGCGAAAGCGUGGGGAGCAAACAGG
rnacentral:rRNA from 1 species